CUGAGAAAGCAUAGAAAUGUCACAGAGCGCAUGGAAAUCUCAUAGAGCUCGACGAUCAUGGAGAUCUCAUAGAGCUCGACGAUCAUCGAUUAGGUACGAUCUCGGUUUUGUGACUCUUCAUCUCUCUUGGCGUUGUGUUUCUCAGCUCCGAUUAGGUUGUAGCACAGAAAGUGAAGGAAGCUGAAAUCACUGAGCAGGACUCGCUUCUUCUGACCCUGCCACUGCAGCUGCUUCUCAAGCAAACAAGGAGGAGGCAGAUGCAUGAUCGGUGUUUGUUGGCAAUUUGUUUUGUCAAAUGGUAGAAAGAGAAGACAAGUCAUAGCCCUAGUAGAAUUGAAUUAUUUGACAUCACCCAUGUGCAAGCUAAUGGGCAAGCAGUAAAUGAACCAACAGAAGAUGCAUUGAAACUGAGGACACCUAUAAUGGAUGAAAUGUUCAAUUGUACUAGCUGAUAACUUCUUGCUUUGGAGAUGAUGAUGAAGAAUAAAAUGUAUCAAAACUUUUAACUCUUGGACAAAUUUGGUCUUUGUACAAAGUGUGGUUGUUGAUAUCUUUUCUCUUAAACAAUAAUUGACAUAUUGGCAGUUUGUAUGCGGCCCCUAAUCUGUUAAUUUGUAGGUUUGAGAUUAGAGAUCAAAGAAAGUGUAAUUGUAGCAAUAUACCACUUUUGCUAUAUAUCAA